CCCACACUUAGGAUUUUUGCUGCGAGUUCGACAUUCGUGCGUUGAGGUGUUGGGAGUAACGUUAGGCUCCCUUACAUUCACAACCCGUUUGUGAAUUGUUGAAGGUUCAGUUCGCCAAUAUAUCGGAUUGUUUCGAGGACGUUAGUUGAUUAAGGAGCUUCCCUAACUUUGAGGCAAAGGUAAUAAAAGCGGCAAACCGGCGAGGGGCAGGAAGGAAGCGUGACUGCCAUAGGAAAUAUGUUGUUUGCUUCCGCUUAUGGGUUCUUGUGAGGUUUAAGAUGAAUUGAAAGUUUGCUUACAAACGUUUAUUGUAAAUAGUAUUGUUUUUAUGUUUUCUUAAAUGUUUGAAAUUCAGGCCUGACUUAAAGAUGUUUUUAAAUUAGCUUACGUUUUGUUUUA